GGAAGCACCCAGUGGCAGGCACAGCGCGUGCAUCGUAUCCAACGUGGCAAACUUAUCCGCUGCAACAGAGUGAACGAUAAGGCUUUACAAACGAAAAUAAGAAAGUUUACAAAAAACAAGAAAUAACUUUGCAGAUCUGAGUUUGGUGAAGAUAAAAAACAGAACACGUUUCUACUCUUCCUACAGAUCUAUAUGAUAUAGUAACAUGGCUGGGUUAUGCCGACCUAUAUGAUAUAGAGAACCGAUAAUUAAGGAGCAUAGUGAAACUAUGUGAUGUUGACUUACUCGGAUCCUUCUCGAC